rnacentral:tRNA from 1 species
CCUCCUUUCUAGAGAAAGACGACAAUUAUAAUGAGAAAAAUAGGAAAGGGAUGGUUUUUCUUAGCUGUUAAUUUUAAAAUGAAGUAAUAAAAAGUAGAGUCUCAUAGCUCAGCUGGUUAGAGCGCUACACUGAUAAUGUAGAGGUCGGCAGUUCGAGUCUGCCUGAGACUACUAAAAAGGAAAUUCUAGAGGAUGAGUCGCCGAUUAAGAUAUAAUGUUGACUGAAAAGGUUUGACAAUUUUAUAGAAACGGGGGAUUAGCUCAGCUGGCUAGAGCGCUUGCCUUGCACGCAAGAGGUCAUCGGUUCGACUCCGAUAUUCUCCACAGAGGCUAAAGUUACUGGUUU